rnacentral:rRNA from 1 species
AUUGAACGCUGGCGGCAGGCCUAACACAUGCAAGUCGAGCGGAUGAAGGGAGCUUGCUCCUGGAUUCAGCGGCGGACGGGUGAGUAAUGCCUAGGAAUCUGCCUGGUAGUGGGGGAUAACGUCCGGAAACGGGCGCUAAUACCGCAUACGUCCUGAGGGAGAAAGUGGGGGAUCUUCGGACCUCACGCUAUCAGAUGAGCCUAGGUCGGAUUAGCUAGUUGGUGGGGUAAAGGCCUACCAAGGCGACGAUCCGUAACUGGUCUGAGAGGAUGAUCAGUCACACUAGAACUGAGACACGGUCCAGACUCCUACGGGAGGCAGCAGUGGGGAAUAUUGGACAAUGGGCGAAAGCCUGAUCCAGCCAUGCCGCGUGUGUGAAGAAGGUCUUCGGAUUGUAAAGCACUUUAAGUUGGGAGGAAGGGCAGUAAGUUAAAACCUUGCUGUUUUGACGUUACCAACAGAAUAAGCACCGGCUAACUUCGUG